CCUACGGGGGGCAGCAGUGGGGAAUAUUGGGCAAUGGAGGAAACUCUGACCCAGCAACGCCGCGUGAAGGAUGAAGGUUUUCGGAUGGGAAACGUCUGUUGCGAGGGAGGAAGAAUGACGGUACCUCGUGAGGAAGCCCCGGCAAACUACGUGCCAGCAGCCGCGGUAAGACGUAGGGGGCAAGCGUUGUCCGGAAUGACUGGGCGUAAUGGGAGUGUAGGCGGCCUUUGAAGUUAUAUGUGCAAGCCCCCGGCUUAACCGAGGAACUGCAUAUCAAACUGGAGGGCUGGAGUGCAGGAGAGGUAAUCCGAAUUUCUUGUGUAGCGGUGGAAUGCUUAGAUAUUAGGAAGAACCCCGGCGGCGACGGCGGCUUACUGGACUGUACCUGCCGCUGAGGCUCGAACGCGUGGGGAGCAAACAGGAUUAGAUACCCUUGUAGUC
rnacentral:rRNA from 1 species